AUCCCCUAUUGUCAAUGUGCUUGAUUCUGGCACCCUGGUUAUUGUAUAUAUGUUUAUCUGAACCAGGGAAGGAAAAGAGAACAUCAAAAUGGUAAGGCAAAGGGUAAAAGGCAACUGAUACAACAGCAAUACCCACAAGACAAUA